rnacentral:rRNA from 1 species
UACGGGAAGGGGGCUAGCGUUGCUCGGAAUCACUGGGCGUAAAGCGCACGUAGGCGGACUCUUAAGUCCAGGGGUGAAAUCCUGGAGCUCAACGUCCAGAACUGCCUUUGAUACUGGAGUGCUUGAGUCCGGAAGAGGUGAGUGGAACUCCGAGUGUAGAGGUGAAAUUCGUAGAUAUUCGGAAGAACACCAGUGGCGAAGGCGGCUCACUGGUCCGGUACUGACGCUGAGGUGCGAAAGCGUGGGGAGCAAAGCGGG